UACGUAGGGUGCAAGCGUUGUCCGGAAUUAUUGGGCGUAAAGAGCUCGUAGGCGGUUUGUCGCGUCGAAAUGUGAAAACCCGGGGCUCAACCCCGGGCCUGCAUUCGAUACGGGCAGACUAGAGUUCGGUAGGGGAGUCUGGAAUUCCUGGUGUAGCGGUGAAAUGCGCAGAUAUCAGGAGGAACACCGGUGGCGAAGGCGGGACUCUGGGCCGAUACUGACGCUGAGGAGCGAAAGCGUGGGGAGCAAACAGG
rnacentral:rRNA from 1 species